ensembl:lincRNA
UUGAAACCAGGUCACAUUCUGGGGGAGCUGUUUCCUGGCGGGUCACCUUCGCCUCUGGGACAUGGACGUCCACAUCACUGCCCCACCCACGGGCACCCUGCACCCUGCGUCGAGCCUCGCCAAGCUGCUGUGCUGUCAGACCCCACCACUCCCGAACCUGCAGCUGACGGCCAGCGGUCCCAGCAGAGGUGCUGGCCAGCAGGCCACUCUGGGUUCCGUCCCUGUGAGAGCGCAUUCAGGGUGCCGUGGAGCCUGCCGGAGCCGGAGGCCAAAGCCUGCUGCAGGACGGUUCUGGACCCCACUUCCCCCACUUCUGGGGGCCAAGCCAGGUUAGAGACGCCAGGAGCCCAGAGACAGAGAGGCCAGGUUGCACUGGCCCACAGGCACUGGAGGGAACUGGCAGCCUUCGUCUUUGGUGUUCCCUCCGGAAAGGGUUCACGCUGCCCCAGGGCCAGCGAGACCGCAAAAGACAGAAGCCCCGUGAGAUCUGGUCUCAGUGUCCACGGUGGGUUGUGGUCCUACAUCCCUGCGCUCGGGUGGUGUUCAGGUUAGAGGCAAGCACUCUCGGACCACACCGAGCCUUGGCUGUGCAGAUGCCGUCCUGGAUUAACCGAGCCGGGAGACACGGGCUCUGGGGGUGCGGCGAUGGGGCCCAGGAAGGUGGCUCAGUGGCAUCUUCCUCCAAGUCCGGAAGCCACUGGCGGAGGGCUGGACAGUGAGAGCUGCCUGGUGCAAUCCCAGCGGUGCCCUGGCUGCCAUCCUGCUGCUUAGGAAGCUCUGUUCACUGCAUGACAUUGUUCCUUGUGGAAGUACCUUCCAGCGCAGAAGCCAGAAUGAAGUCUUGAAGGUUUUGAGAACGCAAAGGCAGGAUAUUAAUAUUUCAAUGCUUAGAAAUUGGAAAAAAGCACACCACAGAAGUAUCUGCAAUCAUCAGGAGAAUUUGGCCUUUGGGGAGACUGCAGGACAGCUCCAAAUGAACAGACAGGAGUGGUUGUGAUAUUUUGCUGCAUUUCUAUAAACUACUGCAACCUAUUAUUGGACCUCUGAGUUUAUCGCGCUGUGAAUUUGGACGUUUACACUUCUAGCAGUGCCUGUGCAGAAGGAUUUGUUAAUUUUUAGGGAGUGAAAGGAUGCAUUUAAAUCUAUGCAUUAAAGGUACACGUGCUAAAAUGGCCGAAGCUAUCUGGUUAGCUAAGUUGGGGAGAGCGCUGAAAAUUACUCAUGGGUUCUUUAUAGGAGGUUAUUAAAAGUAGCUAGAUUUGAAGAUAGAACAAUAAGAUUUAUGAGUCACAAGUAAAAAAAUGAAGGCAGAAUUCAGCCUUUAAAUGUCAUCUUUAAUAAACAGAAGCAAUUA